rnacentral:lncRNA from 1 species
CUUUCGAGGCUGCGGGUUGUUAUAGAAAUUCCCUCCACCAGGGGUGUUAGGUUGAAAUUCCUUUGUGCCAUAAUGAUGACAUUUUAUUUGCUACUCUUGACAGUGAGGAUGACGAGAAUCCUUACCACCAUUAUUCUAACUGAGGCACACAAAACAGUGGUUUAGAGGACAUAGAAAUUGCUCCUAAGCUUACAUGAAACUGUUUCUUCCCAGGUUGUAAAGCGCAAGCUUAACACUGUAUUUGUGGGCAAAAAGGUGAGAAACCUUUUUAAAGUCUAUAUACCCAGUGCUGUCCAAUUCUUUGUAUCUUUAGGGGUUGACAAAUCACCAAAUCAAUGUUGAUGCUUAAAUUAGCGUUUUGCUCCCCUUUUCAAACCUGAAAUUCUGCACCUUAGUUUUAUACUUAACUUGCGGGGAUCUGAAGAAACAGAUACUGUGAUGGUUGCAUAGUUCAACAGAUUGAAUCAUGAAAGAGAUAACAUUUGACUGAGUAUCUGGGUUGGGAAAACUUUGGCUAAUAGCAUAAGCAAAGUACCACUUCUAAUCUGACUUCUAUUUUUGUAGGUGCUAGGCAGAGUUAGCUGAAAGGUGAAGAGGUAAGUAAAAUUGUAAUUGAACUAAACAUUGGUGACUGGGCAAAGAUGACAGAAUGCCUCUGAUGGGUUUUUAGGACUGCCUUUUAAUACACGUGAAGCAAUCCUACCAUGAAGUGCUUGGACAGUGCUGAAUGCAUUAAGGCCAAAUCCUUGUCUUGUUACCGUAAGGUGUAUUGCUUUGGAAGAGCAGCCUGUGUGAUGAUAAGCAUAUACUGACUGAACAUGAAGGUCUUAUAUUAGCUCUAUCUGAUUUCAGGCAUUUUUUAGGUUUCUGGGGAAUAAUUCAUCUUUGACUACUGUAAAACCACUCUUUAUUUCUUUAGGUGAACUUGUCUGACAUGUCUGGACCAGCCUUUUUAGUGGGUAAGCAUUAAUGUUUAAAGCAAAAUUUAGUAGGCUCAAAACUUAGGGUAAUGCUGACAAGGUAGAAUGCCUAAGCUAAUUUUAUAUGUUUGAUUUGCAAAUGUAUGUUGAGCAUGCUUUAGCAGGGUUUUUGUAAUGAUGUUGAGCAAAUGUCUGACCUGAAAUGAGCAUGUAGACAAAUCUAACACUGAAGGACCCUGUGACAAAAAUAAAUGAGAAUUUAAUGUAUGAUUGACCUUUUAGUGAAAGUGUCAUUUCCUUUAUAGGUACCCGGUAUUAUCUGUGGAUGGCUUGUUUGGGGUAAGACAUGAAAACAGUUCUUUGGCUCUUGGCACUUGGGGUUUUUGUUUUUAUAAUGUGCUAGUCUUAGUAAUUGUGAUGGUGUUUUCUGGUGUUGGACAGUUGGAGUAUUGAAGCUAUUUUGAAAUGUGUCUGAAGAAAUAAUUUUUUUCAGGUGCAGAUUUUGAGGACCUUUUGUAUAAAGGUAUGUAUGUAUUUUUAUCAAUUGUACUAGUUAGUAAGCAAAAUGCUGUUAGUGAUGAUUUAUAAAAUUAAACAGAUGGGAAUCUCUCUGAAAAAUAAUGAAGAUUUUUAAAAACUGAAACAGUGUUAGGAGUUUUUUAAAAAUUGUAUUUCUACCUAUUAAAUUUCAUUAAGUUUCAUUAAAUUCUGCAGGUGUGAAGAGGCCUUGGCUACAAGGCAUUGAUUGGAACAUGCCUUAAAAGGUAUUGUAGCCUUAAGUUAGGUUUCUGUUUUAUGUGAUUUUUCUUUUUUAAGCCGAUACAAUGAUGAUAACAUAGUUCAGCAGACUUGACAGUGAUGAGCAAAUAACUGUCUUUCGCUCCUAUCUGAUGUAUCUGGCUGUAACAAUUCUGUUUAUACAGUUUCUCAGAAAUGUUAAUGGAUUUGGAUAAGCCUAAUGACUAAUGGAGAUGUCCUAUACUAUUAAACUUAAGUCAUAGUCAAGCUUAGGGUUACCAAGAGGGAAACUGAAGGCACACUACAUACAAGGUAGCUAACCAGGGACCAACUAUAAUAGCACAGUGUGGUCUACUCAGUGUUAACCUAAAGCUAAUACAACUUAAUUCAACUAUACUCCAAUAAAAACAUUAAAAUUCCAGAAUUACCAAUUGACAUUUAGAUGAAGACAGGCUAACAUUCUUGUGAGGAAGUUUUUAUGGUAUAUAAUGUACAUAAUGCCAGAUGACUUGUUUAGUUGAUUAUUUUAGAAUCAUUUUUUAGAUCGGCUUGGGAUUCAUAGCAAAGUUAACCACAUACCAUGCACACAAAAUCUAGCACUGGAAUGUACGUUGGGGUUCACUCAUGUUCUGAGUGGGGACAAGUGCUGACAAACACAACAUACAAAAUACGUUCACUGUCCUAAAUUUUUUCACAUUUUCAAACAGGCAGAUCUUCUGUUACCCUGAAGAUUUCAAAGUAAGUCAGCCUUUUAUAUAUAGUUAUUAUAUGUAUGUUUGAAUGUAACCAGUGAUGUGAUGAUUCUGCCAAAUGAAUAAGAUGAUAUCACCCAUAAACCGUUCCAUUUUGAUUCUGAGGUUACUAACAAGUAUCACUUAAGUCUUGGGUUAUUUUACUGUGAUCUAACAUGUUCUUUCCUUUUUAGGGCAUUUAAAUGAGCAGCAGUCAACGCAACUUAACCAAUUGACAGGUGAGGCUUGAAAAUAUUAGUAUUCUCUUGUUCUAGAAUACAUGAUGAUCUCACCCUAACUUGAACUCUCUCACUGAUUAUGUGUGAUGAUGAUCAAAGAUCUGAUAUUCUGUUUGCCAAAUGCAGUUAGGACUGAAACAAGGAAAUGGGAACUAAAAAUUGCUUCUUUGUUUUUUGCAGGUAGCUGGAUGGAUGCUUGUGGGAUGGAUAGAAGAAAAGUAAACAACUUUGUAUUU